rnacentral:rRNA from 1 species
GUUUCUUCGGAAAUGGAUUAGCGGCGAACGGGUGAGGAACACGUGAGGAAUCUGCCCUCCACUUUGGGAUAACACCGGGAAACCGGUGCUAAUACCGAAUAUUGAAACAUAAGUGGCAUCACUGAGUUUUGAAAGAAUUUCGGUGGAGGAUGACUUCGCGGCCUAUCAGCUAGUUGGUGAGGUAAUGGCUCACCAAGGCAACGACGGGUAGCCGGCCUGAGAGGGCGACCGGCCACACUGGGACUGAGACACGGCCCAGACUCCUACGGGAGGCAGCAGUGGGGAAUAUUGGGCAAUGGAGGAAACUCUGACCCAGCGACGCCGCGUGCGGGAUGAAGGCCUUCGGGUUGUAAACCGCUUUCAGUAGGGAAGAAGCGAAAGUGACGGUACCUACAAAAGAAGCACCGGCUAACUAUGUGCCAGCAGCCGCGGUAAUACAUAGGGUGCAGGCGUUGUCCGGAAUUAUUGGGCGUAAAGAGCUCGUAGGUCGUUUGUUACGUCGGAUGUGAAAACCUGAGGCUCAACCUCAGGCCUGCAUUCGAUACGGGCAAACUAGAGUUUGGUAGGGGAGACUGGAAUUCCUGGUGUAGCGGUGGAAUGCGCAGAUAUCAGGAGGAACACCAAUGGCGAAGGCAGGUCUCUGGGCCAAUACUGACACUGAGGAGCGAAAGUCUGGGGAGCGAACAGGAUUAGAUACCCUGGUAGUCCAGACCGUAAACGGUGGGCACUAGUUGUGGGAACCUUCCACGGUUUCUGCGACGCAGCUAACGCAUUAAGUGC